UGGCUCCUUGGUCAAGCGGUUAAAGACACCGCCCUUUCACGGCGGUAACACGGGUUCGAGUCCCGUAGGAGUCAUACA
rnacentral:tRNA from 1 species